AUUGAACGCUGGCGGCAGGCCUAACACAUGCAAGUCGAACGGUAACAGGAAGAAGCUUUCUUCUUUGCUGACGAGUGGCGGGCGGGUGAGUAGUGUCUGGCAAACUGUCUGAUGGAGGGGGAUAACUACUGGAAACGGUAACUAAUACAGCAUAACGUCGCCAGACCGGAGAGGGGGGGCUUCUGGCCUCUUGCGCUCGUGUAUGCCCAGAUGGGAUUAGCUAGUGGGUGGGGUAACGGCUCACCUAGGCGACGAUCCCUAGCUGGUCUGAGAGGAUGAGCAGCCACACUGGAACUGAGACACGGUCCAGACUCCUACGGGAGGCAGCAGUGGGGAAUAUUGGACAAUGGGCGCAAGCCUGAUGCAGCCAUGCCGCGUGUAUGAAGAAGGCCUUCGGGUUGUAAAGUACUUUUAGCGGGGAGGAAGGGAGUAAAGUUAAUACCUUGACUCAUUGACGGUACCCGCAGAAGAAGCACCGGCUAACUCCGUG
rnacentral:rRNA from 1 species